rnacentral:rRNA from 1 species
AGAGUUUGAUCAUGGCUCAGGAUGAACGCUGGCGGCAUGCCUAAUACAUGCAAGUCGAACGAAGCGGCCUAUAGAAUUUAAUAAGCUUGCUUAGAGAAGGACAUAGAUCACCGCUUAGUGGCGAACGGGUGAGUAACACGUAGGUAACCUGCCCUAGAGACUGGGAUAACUAUUGGAAACGAUAGCUAAUACCGGAUAGGUAACUAGUAGGCAUCUAUUAGUUAUUAAAGUUGGGUUGCAACACUCUAGGAUGGACCUGCGGUGUAUUAGCUAGUUGGUGAGGUAAUGGCUCACCAAGGCGACGAUACAUAGCCGACCUGAGAGGGUGACCGGCCACAUUGGGACUGAGACACGGCCCAGACUCCUACGGGAGGCAGCAGUGGGGAAUAUUGCACAAUGGGCGCAAGCCUGAUGCAGCGACGCCGCGUGAGGGAUGACGGCCUUCGGGUUGUAAACCUCUUUCGCUAGGGAAGAAGCCACUUUGUGGUGACGGUACCUGGAUAAGAAGCACCGGCUAACUACGUGCCAGCAGCCGCGGUAAUACGUAGGGUGCAAGCGUUGUCCGGAAUUACUGGGCGUAAAGAGCUCGUAGGUGGUUUGUCGCGUCGUCUGUGAAAUCCCGGGGCUUAACUCCGGGCGUGCAGGCGAUACGGGCAUAACUGGAGUGCUGUAGGGGAGACUGGAAUUCCUGGUGUAGCGGUGAAAUGCGCAGAUAUCAGGAGGAACACCGAUGGCGAAGGCAGGUCUCUGGGCAGUAACUGACGCUGAGGAGCGAAAGCAUGGGUAGCGAACAGGAUUAGAUACCCUGGUAGUCCAUGCCGUAAACGGUGGGCGCUAGGUGUGGGGAUCUUUCUACGAUUUCCGUGCCGUAGCUAACGCAUUAAGCGCCCCGCCUGGGGAGUACGGCCGCAAGGCUAAAACUCAAAGGAAUUGACGG